UACAGAGGGGGCGAGCGUUAUUCGGAAUUAUUGGGCGUAAAGGGCGCGUAGGCGGCUUUUCAAGUGACGGGUGAAAUCCCUCGGCUUAACCGAGGAACUGCCUGUCAGACUGGAAGGCUUGAGACCGGGAGAGGUGAGUGGAAUUCCCAGUGUAGCGGUGAAAUGCGUAGAUAUUGGGAGGAACACCAGUGGCGAAGGCGGCUCACUGGACCGGUACUGACGCUGAUGCGCGAAAGCGUGGGGAGCAAACAGG
rnacentral:rRNA from 1 species